UUUGCCAGAAAACCUAUUACAAAAGUGUAUACAAUUCUGAUGAAAAAAGAUGAAUUGCAAAUUUAAAUUGCAAUAUAAAUGACUUAAAAAAAAACAUUAAAUUAAUAAGAUUUUAAAAUGUAAAUUAAUUUAUACUUUUUAUACCCAAUUUUUAUAUAGAUUUGGUUAAAAUAUUAUUUACUUGGAAAUAUAAUUAUAUUAAAUUGUUUUUUAUUAUUUAUUAACUGAUACAGUGACCUACCACCCUAUCACAAUUUUCUCGGAUAUUUCAUUAUAACGAGCUAUUCUUAUGUUCGGUGAUGUCUCACUCCAAUUAUCCAUGAAGUUUAUUAUGCAGUCAUAUCAUUAAUAAGCUGAAUAAUUAAAUGUUAGAGCUUGACAUAGCACUUAUAAGAAACUACACUAAUAAAUCUAGGUAUAAUACCUUUUUGUUUUAGUUACAUUCUAAAUCCACGUAUAUGUAAAAAUGGCUCAUUCGUAUGUGUGAUUUAAUUUUCUGUGUAAAAAUAACACUGCACUAUACUGCAUAAAAGUUUAUUCAAUGACUAUAUCUGAUGACGACCGGCACAUUGCCAAACAAUCACUUUGGAUGCAUUGUUCAUCGAGAGAAAAGACGAUUAAUGGAGAUAAAUAUAUCAAACACCAAAAUUCAAUUAUUUUAAACACGGAUUGCUAUUUAUAAGAAAAAAAGCUGACAAAUAAGUAUCAAUUACUUUAGGCAACAUAAAUACGAUUCCAAUUGAAAAAUUAAAAUCUAUUAAUAAAGAUACAAAUAUAUAAUUAAGAAUGCGUAAUUAAAUAGAUACAAUCAAAUCUGUAAAUCACAAUCUCGAAAAAUUGGGAUGGCAGUUAAACCUUGAUUUAUGAGCAGAUAUUAAGCACGCAUCAAAUUAGCUGAUGGCGUUGCCAACACAUACACACGGUAUGUCAUCAUCAUCUUCGUCAAUGUCAAAUUUUCUUUCGUUUUAUGAUGAAGCCCACGUAUUCAGCUAAAGAAGCGUUGAAGUUUGCGUGAAGAGAAAACUAACAAUAAAACUCGAAAGAAAAUUUUAGAGUAACAAAAGUAGUAACACACUUUCCUUACUAAACUUAUACACUAACACUUCUAAAUCUCUUAUCUCUUUGACUUGUUAAAAAAAAAAAAUGACAAAAGAAAUAAAAAGACAGGAGGCAUAUUGACGAAACUUCAAUAAUCGCUAAUUGAUGAGAAAUUAGCUUAUUACACUUAUGAGUCCAUUUGGCAUAUCAUUUCAUUAUUAAACCAGAAGAAUCGGUUUUCACUGAAAGCAAUUUCUUUAGUUGUAAAAUAGUGCAUAAAUAUAAUAAUUAAAUAAAUAAUGAGGUUUUCUAAAUUGCUUCGAUUAAAAAAUAUAUUUUUAAAAAUUUUAUACACUUGUUCUGUUCUUUUAUAGAAUGGCAGACCAUCAAGAGUAUUUUAUGUUAAAAAAUCUUUCUACCUUAACCGUUCGGAAUGGAUGUUAAACUAUAGGCUCCGUAUAUUUUUUAUCUCGUGUAUUUGUAUAACCUACCAUAGAUGUGAACCAUAAAUAUACAUAGAGAAAAGGCAUAAGUUCGGAACCGUUGAAAUUGAAAGGAAAAUGAAUAUAACUGUAAUAUACAAACAACUUAUCAUUGCAAAUACUAUAAAAUACUACAAAAAUAUAAAAAAUUGAUAAAAAUUAAAAAUUGCAAUAUAAGUUUAUUUUCUAUAAUCAAGUUAAUUUCACAAAUGUAACUAUUUUUUGUUUAAUUUUAUGCGUCUACUCGUAUAUUUAAAAAAAUUUAAUUGUAAACAUACGACAAAUGUACUUUCACACUUGUCAACACUUUUGUCAUUAAAUUUCAGUUCUUUUACUAAUCAUAUAUUCAUGCAGGUACAUUUCGUAUUCACCUGGCAUUACGACACGUAAUAGCCGACAAAGAGUCCUGUUUAUUUACGAUUGAUUGCGUGCUUCAACAAUUUUUGAAAUGCCCGUACUCUUCAAAACUGGUCAAUCGUCAAACAAACUAUUGGAAUGAAGCGUCAAUAGCGUCUGCCCUUGUCGUUUGAUUUCCCAUCAUUUACGAGGUAAUGCUAAAAUUCUCGUGAAUUGGUCCUAAUUAUUUAAUGCACGAUUGAAUCAUAAAAAUAAUAAAUAUCUUCAUUCUCUAAUUUUAAUUAAAUUAGUUUUUCAUUUUUUAAAAGUCAAUUUUAUUUUAAUUAAAUAUCGAUCAUUUAUAAGAAAUAAAGAGUCUAUAUAUGAGUAAUACGAACAAAAUUAGAAAGAGCCAUCAUCAUUAAUAAUUAAGAAAUUAAUAAGUGACAGUCCUUUCGAGAUGAACAAACACUUCUAACAAAGUUGCUUGAGGCUACAAACUUUUUUAUCGCAGAGAACACGUCUGAACAGCGUAUCUAACGUAAAUUAAGUACAUUCAUUUGUUUGGGAUUCUCUUCUUUCUUCAUGCUCGCUAUCUCAGUACUCUCUUUUGACCUGAAUAAUCUUUCUAAGAAUCUCCGAGCCUUGUUCAUAGUACACGAUACAUAAAUAACGUCUUACAAACGUAACUUCUAUUGAAUCGAUCAUAUAGUAUAAUCAUAUAGUAUUAUCUUACGAAUAAAUUACUUAUAUAAUACGGAUAAAUGUUAUAUCUUUUUAACAAUUCAAAAUCUUAAUUUGAUUAUCAUGACUUAUAUGACAUUUCGAGAAUAUAUAGCAGUUCAAAUAGCAAAAAUAAUUAUAGCAGUCAUUAAAAUAUUUUAAAAAUAAUUUCUAUAAUUAAAUUAAAAACUGUAUCGUUCAUUGGAAAAGUGAUCCGUUCCAUUAAUGAAUGGUAUCGUAAGAGCGUUAAAAAUAUAUGAUUACAAAAAUGGUAUCGCUCGAUGACUAAUGGAUAAAUACUUUGAAUAAUGUUUAAGCGAAAGAUGUCGCAUUAAUUUUAAACCAUGCUAUUGUUGUCAUCGUGCCAACCCAAAGAACGGAUGCACAAAUAUUUGUUGAUUCAUGAAUACUUGUGACUUUACUAUCACAUUUAUAACAAUCAGAUAUAAAAAAUAAAUAAAUAUAGCACACAGUUACCAAUAGAUGUAAGUAUAUAGAUAAAAAUAAGUUAAUUGGCACAAAAAUAGAUAAAGAUAUAUGAAAUAUCCUAUUCUUUACAGUUCUACUCAGCAAAAUCAAAAUAAAAGAUCGCAUAAAUAUAAAAUAAAAAAUAUUAUAUUUAAAUUAAAAUUACGUUUCUAUUCGUUAUAAAUUUAUAGAAUAAAAAAAGCAAUGUUUAUUAAUAAUAUAUAAAAACAACAUAAAAUACAAACUAUACAAUAUCUAUUUAGUGUAAUAGGAUUUAAAAGGUUCAAUUAAAACAUUCAUUUAGAAAGGAAAAUUUUAAAGAGUGAAAUUUUAUGGUGCCACCUGAGUACAAUCGUUAUAGUCAAAAAUAAGUAAUGUUAUAAAUUGAAUAAAGCGGUUAAGUUUAGUUUCACUCUGAACACUUACGCAUAUAUAUAGGCAUUUUAUUUACUACCGCAGGUGUAGUCGCGCAUUUCUCGCAGUCGACACGCACAGCUUCCAAAUCGCGUGACAUCCGUUACGCCACAUUCUAAAUAACAUGACUUUCGCAGUUAAUUGCAGUUUGCUACAACGGCAAAGUGCUAAUGAUCGCUACGGUAGCACCUGUACUGCCACCGAUCAUUACAUCCAAAUACCUCCGGAUCACUUUUGACAAGCGCCGAGCCGAGAGAAAGAUUGCGUGAUUCGCAAACAUAAGGGAUAUAUGGUCUAUCAGCGUGCUCUGCAACCUCGCUGCUCGAUGUGAACAGCCCUCAGCUAUACUCACACCAUCGUCACGUCGAGAUACUCGCGUGCUCAGCUUACGUAGCCUAGAAUCGUGCAACUAUGAAUCUGAGCGGUGUAACCGGAAGUUUUCAUCAUAAGCACGUAGAGUAAGCAAUUACAACUAACCGAGGAAAUUAUUGUUGUCGCAAACCCACGCUAGAUAAACCAUUGAGAAAUGACAUAUCAUUUUGAAACCGAUUUAAUAUGGUAUCCUUUUAAUAUUGCGUAAUUCGUGUCUGAAAUUCUUGAAUUUCAAAAGUUUCAGAGCUCUUAAAAGAAUUAAAAUAUAAAACCAAAUUUUUCAGAGUACAAUUAUUUUAUUUAAAAAAUAAAAGAGUUUCCCUCUAUUUAUUUCUAUAUGCGGUUUAAUUUGCCAUUUAAAAUCGAAUAUAAUUAUAAAAGUUCUUAAUAUAGAAAGACAAUUUCAAUUGUAUUCUACAGAUAUUUAUUUCCUGUAAUGGAUGAACGUGUGGGCUACGCCAGUCAAUCGCGCUAGUCCUUCUGGCACAACAACCAUUGUGUAGGGCAUUUCCCACACAAAAGAGCCGAGUUGUCGAUCUUUUACCGAUGAAACAUGCAAAAAGGGCAAACAAACAUCUCUCUCGUGAGAUCAAUGUCGUACUGCGCCGGUAUAGAGAGUAGUGAAAAUUACUCCUCGAGGAGAGCCACAUCAGAAUGUUAUCUCGAUCGAGAGAAUGCUGGCGCCAAGUCACCCGUCUUUGUACGCGUCCUUUUUCCCUUUCAACCGCGGUCCCUCCGAAACUCCGAAGGAAGGCGCGCGCGCCUUUUCUACGCGAUACUCGCGUCGUUGUCGUCGUCGUUGUCGUUUGAAUGUCACAACGACACGCAUUCGUCGCAUAUAAUUGCUCGCACUAUGCAUUGUUUCGUUUUUCUCCUCCUCCCUAUCUCCCUCGCGCUUCUCUCUCAUCGUGGUUGCAGUUGGAGAACGCCCGGCAGCCCGCGAUAUUUUCGUAUCUCCUAUUUAUACACCGGCAGUAGAAGACGCACUGCCACAGUGUAUCGCGGUGCUCGCGCAGAUGCUCGCGAAGUUCAGGUCAGAGGACACACCUCGAGGAAUUUCUCUUGGCAGAGAAAGAGAGAGAGAGAAAUAUCGCGCGAGGUGUAAAGCGUGAUCGGGGCGUGGGUCUCGAUUACUCGUAACCUCGUUUCAUCGGUGCGAUUUCAUAAAUUUCGCGACAAGCGGCGCGCCAAUGUUUCGCUCGCUAAUGAUGUCGCAAGCGUGGAGACGAGGUAUAUAACUAUAACAUGAAUAUGUACCACCAGAUUUAUACCGGGUAUACGCGUAUAAUUAGAGAGAGGGAAGAAGAAUGUCCGCGAGCCGGAAGAUUCCCCGCGGGUCUCUCUCUCUCCGUUUCUUCCCCUUGGCCAGCCCGAGUUUGAAAGAUUCCUAACAAACCUGUUUCGCCGCGCAAACGUUAACGACUUUGUGGAGAAUUUACGAUUAUGUAGGAAAGCGUGCCGUGUGCGGCUUUUCGGGACCGCAGCCCCGGGAAACCUGGCUACCGUCGCGUCGUUUUGUCGAAGCCGCUUAUUACUUGUUUCGCCAACGCGCGCGAGACUCUAGGAAUAGCCUUAAUGGUGUAUAGCGGCGUACGUAUGUACGCGCGUGAAGAAUCUCGAUAUUUUAUGGCGGCGAUUAUCGUUUAGCCUGUCCGUCGCGGCCAAAUCGCACCGCCGCGCCGCGCGACGCCUCUUAUUUUCAUCAUUAAGCUGUGACUAAUCUACCAUAUUACCGUGACGAGACGCGCCCGAAAGGCGUUUUACCGGGAACCUCGCGCCCCUGCCAGCGACUUUCCGAAAGUUCUCCUUCGUAGCGGCUGGGAUGUGAGAAAAGUCACGAGACGCUUCCACGCGGCUAAAAGCGUAAUUGAAUUUAGACUGUAACUAAAAUGCAAGCCAAUUUUCCUAACCGUAUCUUUUAACGGAAGCGCGUGAUAUGCUGUGCUGUUAUGUGAAGGGGAUGCUGGAAUGAGAUCAACUUAAUCGAGAUCGAUAAUGUGGAAUCAUAUUGGUGCGCAUUAUUAACACUUUCUUUUCGUUCUCGGUAUAAAGUCCAGUUUACAAACCGAUAUUAAUGCGUAUACUUUAAUUCUGAAAGAGGAUUUCGAAAUCUAUAAAAGAAAUCCAUACGAAAUCUUGUUACGAAAAUCUUUGUAACGAGAUUUCGUAUGUAUUUCUAGUAGAGAUCUCGAAAUUCUUUUCCAGAAUUAGAGUAUACGUAUUAAUAUCAGUCUGUAAACUAGACUUUACCCAGAAAAGAAAGAAAUUUCCAAAUUUAUAAAAGAAAUAAAAAUCUCGUUAUAAAAGUUAUCGCUUAAAUAGUAAAACAGAUUGUCUGGAGCAUCCCCUUAAGGAACUAACGGGUACACUUUAUGUAAAAUCUUGCAUUGGUUUCUCUCUGCCGCAAGGUACAAAUCUAAUUUAACCUAAGCCUUAGUUAAUGCAUAGAAUGCAUCGUGGAAUUAUAUUAUAAUUAUGUUGAUACUACAAAGAGAAGUCGUUAAUGUCUUUUGAAAGCACGGAACCGCGCGAUAUGACAAGACACCUCGAGCGUUUUUAGCUCUUUUACGGUCCGAUUACUCCAAGUGACUCACCGUCUCAAAAUGCAAUAGUUUAAACAAUUCUUUCCGGAUUAUACAAAUGAUAGGCUACUUCCCACCGUUCACAUUCGUUGGCCAAUCCCGCUGUAUAAGAAUACGUAGGCGUGCACAUUUGUUCCCCGCGGCUUUGUCUCGUGACACGAUAAUGGAUACUUGAAUAAACUCAAGCGUGCACAAUGGCUCGCGCAGCAAACAUUAGAAAAAUCAGUAAAAUUGGACGACACCGCUGCGAGAACCCGGGAAGAAUUCAAAACUGUUACGCAUUCCCGAGGGAAGUAUAACGAGAGAAGAUGCAGAGGAAGGCAUUAAGUGCCAGACGUGUACAAACGUGUACUGAUUAGUUUGAAUUUUCGGAAACCCGAAGAAGAUGAAAAAAAAGGGGGUGCGGAACAGGGAUAAUUUACUAGGUGCCAGGUAGAAUAAUGAGUUUGCGAAGUUCUUCAAAUCACCGGACGCCCAUCGUCCAAUUCAUCACGGAAAUGAGGAUCUUCAUCACGCGAAAGAAUGUAAACACCCUGGGACAUCUUAACACACGAGGACCAAUCACCAGGAGCCAUUCUCUAUUAAUUCCGCGUUCUUCCGCAACUCGCCGUCCCGUUUGCACAACGAUAAUUGCUAUAAUUACCAAAAGCUGCCUUCCUCGCGACGACGUGAUAUCAAUUGCCUUUCACGUUCUUCCCUUCGCAAAAUUAAACUUGCGGUUUACUGCCACAUCAACUGGCUAAACAAAUUAAUUGCCGCAUCGUGUAAAGCCGGUUGCAUUUUACAGAAGAAAAUUCAUUUCUCCAAACUAAUUUCGCGCGCGGCGCAAGUUCGUGGAUGCAAAAAGAACUUUGCCGAUAACGAGGUACAUGCCUCCUGGUUUCAAUCAACGGCGACCAGGGCGAGUCGCGAAAUGUCCGUCAACGCUGCUCGUCGCCAGGGCUCGUGUGCAAGCAAAAAAUGAUUUGUCUGCUCGUUUACGUCACUCAUCCCUCCAACAUUCGUGCAAUAAACGGAUAUCGAAGGCGAGGAGAGUCGCGAGGCGAACGAGCACGAUCGUCGGUUUAUUAUCUUAUUAUAUUUCGCACGAUAGGUAUGUGUGUAGCGCGCGCAUGUGUGUGUGUGUGUGCGUGCGUGUGUGUGUGUGUGCGUAGAAUAGUGUACGUACGUACACAUACGGUAUGUUUGUGGGAUACACGUGUGUUGCCGCGAUUGCAGCCGCAUGGUGAGGCUAAUUGCAAACCAGCCGUUAUACGGAGAACGCAGCGGGGGAACAGAAUAUCUUCCAGAGAGCCACGGGAUGUGGGAUAUUUCUGAUCUAUCAGUCAAGCGAUCAGUUCGCGUUCGCUCUGGUAGAAAAUACAGAAUAGCGUUGAAAGCCAGUAAGUAAGUAGCCGGAUGUGGAGAUGAUGUCGAAAUUGCUCAGAUACGACAUUCAUUUUGCUACCUCAGACUGCGUUCGGGACAGCUACACCAAGGAAUUAAUAAGUGACUCUAGCGGGAUGCCUGCCAGCGAUAUAAUUACGUUCUGAUUAAAUCGCGGUGUGCACAAUAAUGCGGAUGAUUGGUGGCUACCUGAAACCGGGCUGAUUCUCCCAAUUAAAAUCCCCUUGACCGACGCUACGGUCGCACGACGUUUCGAUUUUCAGUCUCGCCGGCGAAAGAAAGGAUUUGAUAUACUAUAUUGAAUUCGACAUUUCGUAUAUCGGUAGGAUUGCUAAUCACAUGUUAUUCAAUAGUCACUGCUUCGGUAACGUAUCAUUAACUUAUAGCUAGAUAUCAUCGAUUAUCAACUGCAGCAUUCUGGUUUUUCUUUUGCAUGGAAUCGUUUUUUUUUUUCUGACGAUUCUCUAAAAUUUACUUUAAUACUCGAACGCAGCGACAAAAUAGUGAAGAGGGAGAGAAAGAGAACGCACGAAGUGACGUUACCAAAAUUAACCUUGAGACGGUGCCAAAAUAAUUAUUCCUCCUUUUUCUCCCAUACGCCACAGCCAUCCACACUCGUGUCUCGAACUUGUCUAAUCUUCCCGGCGCGAAAUCGUAUUCCUAUCGUGCCUUUCAAUCUGACGCAUUCCACGGUGCCAAUCACACGUCCAAGGUCGCCCAAGGAUAAACGCCGAGCGGCGGGGAGGCGAGAGUUACGCUUCCGAAAAAAUGUAAAUGAACAACAAGCUAUCGUAUCUAAGACGGUUCCCUCGAGGUGGUCCUCCGGUCCGAGGCUUGAAAUUCAAAAGCGAUAUCUAAACGCAGUCAUAGCGCGAGCGCGAGCGAAAGUAAAACACAUGUUGAGCCAAUCAACCGAAACCGGCUGUAACUCGAUACCGAGUAACAUUUCUGUACUUUAACGGCUAUUGAAAAGCCUGCCUUGUCUAUUUUCUCACUUCUUUGAAGAGUGCCGUAAUGGCCGGCCUGUCUCUCCCAGUUGACAUUCUAAUGCUGCGCAGAUAAAUUGGAUUGGCAUCUCAGAUAGUUGGGAUUGGCCGGGCUCCAGCGUCGAAUGCCUUGAUUAAUAUACCGGUAAUUAGUUACCGCUGCAACCGCGAGUUACAGAUAUUAUUAUGCUAAUUACGUCGGCGACGUUGAGUAAUAGGCUGCACGUGAAGCAACGGACAAGAGGCGAGCGGCCCACGUUCUCGCCAUUUGUGGUACCACUGUUCCAUCGAACCUUUGGAAGCGAACAGGCGACCUUGAAAAAUAUCGAACGUAUGCACAAAAGUGAAAGGAUCCGUCGAUCGUUUUUUAAUAUUUUUUUUAUUUUUUUUUUACGAGCUCCUUAUAUGCAAAUUGCAGUAUUUGCCGAGGAAUGCUUGAGUAUAUAGUUUGUUUAGUACAAUUAUAUGUGCGAUCGCUGAUGAAUGGUUGAGAGAUAUUACCGGUACAAAAAGCCUGUUCUAAACGCCUUUAUUGCCGCGCCGCCUGUCGGUAAACCGUCAACUAUUAAUAAUCUAUUUGCGUCAUUGUUCGUAAAUUAUACAACGAGACGUUCCUCGUUAUUUCGAUUCCCGGGACCACACCUCGCCAUAAAAACGAUGUUUUCUUAAACGCGACUGAACACCUUUAAAGUGCACAUCAAUCGUUAACUUUCAUUGAAGCUAAAGGUAGCCACAAAUGGGUCGCAAACGUACGGAGAGGCACAAAGAAAGUGAAUAUUUCUUAACGAUUGGAGAGCACUCGUACCUGCUCGCGAUGCACGCGAAGUCCGAAUUAAACAGUUGUACAACUGAAGUCUACGUAUGAUUAUCGUAUAUGCAUUUUCUGUUAGGGCAACGAUACCAUUACACGUGUUCUGCGGGGGGGGGGGGGGAACGUAAUUCCGAUCGCGCUCAUCCGUCAAGCUCUGCAAAACGCGUACGCCCUGACAGACGUGUGCGCAUAUAUGCAUAAGUAACGUAUGUAACGUAUUUCAAUAAUAUUCCCCCAACAACAGCUGCCGUUGUGUGAGAAAGGAGUGCGCACUUGGGGCAGAAAAGAAGUUCGAAACAAUUAUCCAGACCAGGCCUGACGGACGGCGAACGAUGUUAGCCGUGAGCUGAAGCACGAAGCGCGGGCUCUUAGAUGGAGGCAAAGAGGGCGAAGGCACGGCAACAAAAAUGAUUCGGCUCCGAGCCCGACCGGGAGGCUUGAACUUCUUACAUGAGUUCCCGCCAGUAUUUACGAUCGUGUCGACGAGGCCUCGUUGAGAUCCGCGCCGAUUCAAGAACAAGAGAUAGAGAGAGAGAGAGAGAGAGAGAGAGAGAGAGAGAGAGAGAGAGAGAUCCCCGAUUCGGCCCCGAGCGGCCAUCGGCAAUGCGGGGAGAGUAACGAUCGAUGCGAUCGGAGAACGCGGAUCGUGAGCGCGCGCGGCUCCCGCGCACCAAAAUUCUCUCGAUCGUAACCGCAGAAUCGAAUUCCAUCGCGACAACAGCUGCCAAUCUUCGACCGCAUUCGUUUCUUUUGCAUUCUGUCGGUAUUUGCGCGAUCAUUCACGAUCGAGUUUCACGAUCGUUACGAAUGCCGCACGAAUAUCAUAGUUGAUAUUCCACGCACGCGAGGAACAAAUAAACAGCUGUCCUAAUUGUUAAUUUUUAGAUAAUAAUUAAUAUAAUCGUUACAAUUAUAUUGUAAAAAAUAAGGUGAUAAACGUAUAUAAGUAAUAAAAUAAAUAAUAAAGUUUAGUAACAAACGUUCUCUUUGUCAACAUUAAUAACUGCUUAUUGAAACAUGAUUGACAUUUAAAAUAUGAAUGAAAUAAUUCCACCAAAAAAAA